AAUCAAAUGUGGAUAUAAAACCAGAGGAUGUGAUUAGAUUCUUCAUGAUGAAGGAAUCUAUAGGUAGGCAAUUUUUGGAUGAUUUGAUAGUUCCUACCAACAAAAUAACUAGGAAGAAUUCUAAGUAGAAGGCAAUAUCAUUUCAAGGAGACAAGAUGGGUGGAAUGAUGAAAUAAUUGUUAACUAUUGAGAUGAUAAAUAUUUGUAUGUCUCAGAUUUUGUGUAAUUAUUGUGGAACCCCCUUCCUCACCCUCUUUUGGGGUUUGUUUUGAGUUGUGGCAGAAUUGGGUUUGAUUAGGAAUUAUAUAUGUUGUUAAGUAUUGGAGUGAUGCAUUUAUUAUUAAGUAUUUGGAUAAUAAGGAUUUGUAUGUCUCAGAUUUUGCAA